rnacentral:lncRNA from 1 species
UAUUUAAGAAGGUCGCAAGCAGAAAUCAGUCAGUCCUGAACGACCGUUCUGGGCUCCAUAACCAGCCAAGCGAAGUGAGCGAGGCAGGCCGACCUGAGUCGCGACGUGCACUGUUUUGAGGUGAUUCGUAAACUUAGGCAGGCCAACUCGAGACGAGACGCAAGGUGUACCGAAGUGAGACGCCCAUCCGGAGGAGGACUUCGCUGGGACAAAAUAGAAUAUUGAAUUAUUAUUUUGACUUAUUUUGUACAUAAUUUAGAAUUAAUAGAUUUGCUUUGUUUUCAA